UCCCUCUCAGGAUCACACCUGGAGGGUUUCCAGUACUCUACCAGUCUCAGCUAUGGGAGGGAGAGUCAAGCAGAGGCAUACCUAUUCCAUUCCUAGCUUGACCAGUAGCUAAUGAGGGGAAGGCAAUCUGCUACAAGU
rnacentral:snoRNA from 2 species